AAGAAUAACAACAACGUGCCUCUGUUUAUAAACGGGGAUAUUGACGUUGCAACGCAGGGCUAUGAGCCAGAGGGUUGAGGGUUUUGAGAAUCUGAUUUUCAACAUUCUGAUGCCAUAUUUAUAAUAUAAAAUAUAUGCCACUGAUUUUCCACCAACAGGUUUCUGUGCCGACGCACCACACAACCAGUAAAGAAAGCCUCCCGGCUUCAAUAUCCAAGUCGAUUGUGGUGUUGAAAACGAAAACGGUGUAAAUCUUGACAAACAGAAAAUACAUCCCUUCCUACCUUGUAGGUUUACCCAGGAUCAGAGGCUUGACAAUCUACCUUGUAGGUUUACCCAGGAUCAGAGGCUUCACAAUCUACCUUGUAGUUUUACCCAGGAUCAGAGGCUUGACAAUCUACCUUGUAGGUUUACCCAGGAUCAGAGGCUUGACAAUCUACCUUGUAGGUUUACCCAGGAUCAGAGGCUUGACAAUCUACCUUGUAGGUUUACCCAGGAUCAGAGGCUUCACAAUCUCAGAAUGUCGUUCAACAUUUUGGUGUUUUUGUAACAGCUGUCUCUUUCCAGUCAACAAAGCAGCAUGGGUUGUUUUAAGGUGGAGAUAUGGUUCUUCUUGUUGCAGUCAAUGGUUGUUUUAAGGUGGAGAUAUGGUUCUUCUUGUUGCAGUCAAUGGUUGUUUUAAGGUGGAGAUAUGGUUCUUCUGUUGCAGUCAUGGGUUGUUUUAAGGUGGAGAUAUGGUUCUUCUUGUUGCAGUCAAUGGUUGUUUUAAGGUGGAGAUAUGGUUCUUCUUGUUGCAGUCAUGGGUUGUUUUAAGGUGGAGAUAUGGUUCUUCUUGUUGCAGUCAUGGGUUGUUUUAAGGUGGAGAUAUGGUUCUUCUGUUGUAGUCAUGGGUUGUUUUAAGGUGGAGAUAUGGUUCUUCUUGUUGCAGUCAAUGGUUGUUUUAAGGUGGAGAUAUGGUUCUUCUUGUUGCAGUCAAUGGUUGUUUUAAGGUGGAGAUAUGGUUCUUCUUGUUGCAGUCAAUGGUUGUUUUAAGGUGGAGAUAUGGUUCUUCUUGUUGCAGUCAAUGGUUGUUUUAAGGUGGAGAUAUGGUUCUUCUUGUUGCAGUCAAUGGUUGUUUUAAGGUGGAGAUAUGGUUCUUCUUGUUGCAGUCAUGGGUUGUUUUAAGGUGGAGAUGUGGUUCUUCUUGUUGCAGUCAAUGGUUGUUUUAAGGUGGAGAUAUGGUUCUUCUUGUUGCAGUCAAUGGUUGUUUUAAGGUGGAGAUAUGGUUCUUCUUGUUUCAGUCAUGGGUUGUUUUAAGGUGGAGAUGUGGUUCUUCUUGUUGCAGUCAAUGGUUGUUUUAAGGUGGAGAUAUGGUUCUUCUUGUUGCAGUCAUGGGUUGUUUUAAGGUUGAGAUAUGGUUCUUCUGUUGCAGUCAAUGGUUGUUUUAAGGUGGAGAUAUGGUUCUUCUUGUUUCAGUCAUGGGUUGUUUUAAGGUGGAGAUGUGGUUCUUCUUGUUGCAGUCAAUGGUUGUUUUAAGGUGGAGAUAUGGUUCUUCUUGUUGCAGUCAAUGGUUGUUUUAAGGUGGAGAUAUGGUUCUUCUUGUUGCAGUCAAUGGUUGUUUUACGGUGGAGAUAUGGUUCUUCUUGUUGCAGUCAAUGGUUGUUUUAAGGUGGAGAUAUGGUUCUUCUUGUUGCAGUCAAUGGUUGUUUUAAGGUGGAGAUAUGGUGCUUCUUGUUGCAGUCAAUGGUUGUUUUAAGGUGGAGAUAUUGUUCUUCUUGUUGCAGUCAAUGGUUGUUGGUUCUUCUUGUUGCAGUCAAUGGUUGUUUUAAGGUGGAGAUAUGGUUCUUCUGUUGCAGUCAUGGGUUGUUUUAAGGUGGAGAUAUGGUUCUUCUCUUGCAGUCAUGGGUUGUUUUAAGGUGGAGAUAUGGUUCUUCUUGUUGCAGUCAAUGGUUGUUUUAAGGUGGAGAUAUGGUUCUUCUGUCAAUGGUUGUUUUAAGGUGGAGAUAUGGUUCUUCUGUUGUAGUCAUGGGUUGUUUUAAGGUGGAGAUAUGGUUCUUCUGUUGUAGUCAUGGGUUGUUUUAAGGUGGAGAUAUGGUUCUUCUUGUUGCAGUCAAUGGUUGUUUUAAGGUGGAGAUAUGGUUCUUCUUGUUGCAGUCAAUGGUUGUUCUAAGGUGGAGAUAUGGUUCUUCUUGUUGCAGUCAUGGGUUGUUUUAAGGUGGAGAUAUGGUUCUUCUUGUUGCAGUCAAUGGUUGUUUUAAGGUGGAGAUAUGGUUCUUCUUGUUGCAGUCAUGGGUUGUUUUAAGGUGGAGAUAUGGUUCUUCUGUUGUAGUCAUGGGUUGUUUUAAGGUGGAGAUAUGGUUCUUCUUGUUGCAGUCAAUGGUUGUUUUAAGGUGGAGAUAUGGUUCUUCUUGUUGCAGUCAAUGGUUGUUCUAAGGUGGAGAUAUGGUUCUUCUUGUUGCAGUCAUGGGUUGUUUUAAGGUGGAGAUAUGGUUCUUCUUGUUGCAGUCAAUGGUUGUUUUAAGGUGGAGAUAUGGUUCUUCUGUUGCAGUCAUGGGUUGUUUUAAGGUGGAGAUAUGGUUCUUGUUUCAGUCAUGGGUUGUUUUAAGGUGGAGAUAUGGUUCUUCUUGUUGCAGUCAUGGGUUGUUUUAAGGUGGAGAUAUGGUUCUUCUUGUUUCAGUCAUGGGUUGUUUUAAGGUGGAGAUGUGGUUCUUCUUGUUGCAGUCAAUGGUUGUUUUAAGGUGGAGAUAUGGUUCUUCUUGUUGCAGUCAAUGGUUGUUUUAAGGUGGAGAUAUGGUUAUUCUUGUUGCAGUCAUGGAUUGUUUUAAGGUGGAGAUAUGGUUCUUCUUGUUGCAGUCAAUGGUUGUUUUAAGGUGGAGAUAUGGUUCUUCUUGUUGCAGUCAAUUGUUGUUUUAAGGUGGAGAUAUGGUUCUUCUUGUUGCAGUCUAUGGGUUGUUUUAAGGUGGAGAUAUGGUUAUUCUUGUUGCAGUCAAUGGUUGUUUUAAGGUGGAGAUGUGGUUCUUCUUGUUGCAGUCAAUGGUUGUUUUAAGGUGGAGAUAUGGUUCUUCUUGUUGCAGUCAUGGGUUGUUUUAAGGUGGAGAUAUGAUUCUUCUUGUUGCAGUCAUGGGUUGUUUUAAGGUGGAGAUGUGGUUCUUCUUGUUGCAGUCAAUGGUUGUUUUAAGGUGGAGAUAUGGUUCUUCUUGUUGCAGUCAUGGGUUGUUUUAAGGUGGAGAUAUGGUUCUUCUUGUUGCAGUCAUGGGUUGUUUUAAGGUGGAGAUAUGGUUCUUCUUGUUGCAGUCAAUGGUUGUUUUAAGGUGGAGAUAUGGUUCUUCUUGUUGCAGUCAAUGGUUGUUUUAAGGUGGAGAUAUGGUUCUUCUUGUUGCAGUCAAUGGUUGUUUUAAGGUGGAGAUAUGGUUCUUCUUGUUGCAGUCAUGGGUUGUUUUAAGGUGGAGAUAUGAUUCUUCUUGUUGCAGUCAUGGGUUGUUUUAAGGUGGAGAUGUGGUUCUUCUUGUUGCAGUCAAUGGUUGUUUUAAGGUGGAGAUAUGGUUCUUCUUGUUGCAGUCAUGGGUUGUUUUAAGGUGGAGAUAUGGUUCUUCUUGUUUCAGUCAUGGGUUGUUUUAAGGUGGAGAUGUGGUUCUUCUUGUUGCAGUCAAUGGUUGUUUUAAGGUGGAGAUAUGGUUCUUCUUGUUGCAGUCAAUGGUUGUUUUAAGGUGGAGAUAUGGUUCUUCUUGUUGCAGUCAAUGGUUGUUUUAAGGUGGAGAUAUGGUUCUUCUUGUUGCAGUCAUGGGUUGUUUUAAGGUGGAGAUAUGGUUCUUCUUGUUGCAGUCAUGGGUUGUUUUAAGGUGGAGAUAUGGUUCUUCUUGUUGCAGUCAAUGGUUGUUUUAAGGUGGAGAUAUGGUUCUUCUGUUGCAGUCAUGGGUUGUUUUAAGGUGGAGAUAUGGUUCUUGUUUCAGUCAUGGGUUGUUUUAAGGUGGAGAUAUGGUUCUUCUUGUUGCAGUCAUGGGUUGUUUUAAGGUGGAGAUAUGGUUCUUCUUGUUUCAGUCAUGGGUUGUUUUAAGGUGGAGAUGUGGUUCUUCUUGUUGCAGUCAAUGGUUGUUUUAAGGUGGAGAUAUGGUUCUUCUUGUUGCAGUCAAUGGUUGUUUUAAGGUGGAGAUAUGGUUAUUCUUGUUGCAGUCAUGGAUUGUUUUAAGGUGGAGAUAUGGUUCUUCUUGUUGCAGUCAAUGGUUGUUUUAAGGUGGAGAUAUGGUUCUUCUUGUUGCAGUCAAUUGUUGUUUUAAGGUGGAGAUAUGGUUCUUCUUGUUGCAGUCAAUGGGUUGUUUUAAGGUGGAGAUAUGGUUAUUCUUGUUGCAGUCAAUGGUUGUUUUAAGGUGGAGAUAUGGUUCUUCUUGUUGCAGUCAAUGGUUGUUUUAAGGUGGAGAUAUGGUUCUUCUUGUUGUAGUCAUGGGUUGUUUUAAGGUUGAGAUAUUGUUCUUCUUGUUGCAGUCAAUGGUUGUUUUAAGGUGGAGAUAUGGUUCUUCUUGUUGCAGUCAUGGGUUGUUUUAAGGUGGAGAUAUGGUUCUUCUUGUUGCAGUCAUGGGUUGUUUUAAGGUGGAGAUAUGGUUCUUCUUGUUGCAGUCAAUGGUUGUUUUAAGGUGGAGAUAUGGUUCUUCUUGUUGCAGUCAAUGGUUGUUUUAAGGUGGAGAUAUGGUUCUUCUUGUUGCAGUCAAUGGUUGUUUUAAGGUGGAGAUAUGGUUCUUCUUGUUGCAGUCAUGGGUUGUUUUAAGGUGGAGAUAUGGUUCUUCUUGUUGUAGUCAUGGGUUGUUUUAAGGUGGAGAUAUGGUUCUUCUUGUUGCAGUCAUGGGUUGUUUUAAGGUUGAGAUAUGGUUCUUCUGUUGCAGUCAAUGGUUGUUUUAAGGUGGAGAUAUGGUUCUUCUUGUUUCAGUCAUGGGUUGUUUUAAGGUGGAGAUAUGGUUCUUCUGUUGCAGUCAUGGGUUGUUUUAAGGUGGAGAUAUGGUUCUUCUGUUGCAGUCAUGGGUUGUUUUAAGGUGGAGAUAUGGUUCUUCUUGUUGCAGUCAUGGGUUGUUUUAAGGUGGAGAUAUGGUUCUUCUUGUUGCAGUCAUGGGUUGUUUUAAGGUGGAGAUGUGGUUCUUCUGUUGCAGUCAUGGGUUGUUUUAAGGUGGAGAUAUGGUUCUUCUGUUGCAGUCAUGGGUUGUUUUAAGGUGGAGAUAUGGUUCUUCUGUUGCAGUCAUGGGUUGUUUUAAGGUGGAGAUAUGGUUCUUCUGUUGCAGUCAUGGGUUGUUUUAAGGUGGAGAUAUGGUUCUUCUUGUUGCAGUCAUGGGCAGUGUUCUUGGUUGGUCAUCAAUCGACAAGAUAAUUGAAGAAAAAAAAACAUGCUUAUUUUACUUCAUAAUAUACACAAUUUAAAACGGCCGAGUUCUAUUCACAACCAUAUUCAGUUGGUUAAGAGACAGACAUUCAGUAAAUACAAGGAAUAGAUUGUCCUCCAUCUAUGCGUUAUCCAGACAGAAAAAAGAAAUGGGCAAAAGAACAUUUUGAUUUAGAGCAAUAAAGAAAUUGAAUAAAUUAACUGGGCAAACCAGAAACCCUUUCAAUAUAUAAAUGUAAACAUUAUUUGAAAAUGAUUUAAAUAUAGUGUAUGGAAAUGUUGUGGGACUAUAGUAUAUAUACUAUAUUUAAAUUGUAGAUGAAGAAUCAAUAUUUUUUUAGAUUGAGUAUUUAUUGGGUCAUUAUGUUAGUGUAUUAUGUAUGUUUGUAAUAGUGUGUUAUAUGUGGACCAUUUGUUUGUAUAAUAAAUUGUAUUUUAAUGUUAAGGACUCUUGGAAGAUUAGUUCUAAUGGGGACUAAAAGACAUCCAAUGGCCACUGUGGUUUGACUGAUUCAUUGUAUUUGUCAGUAAAAAAAUAAAC